rnacentral:rRNA from 1 species
UACGGAGGGGGCUAGCGUUUUUCGGAAUUACUGGGCGUAAAGCGCACGUAGGCGGGACGGUAAGUCAGGGGUGAAAGCCCGGGGCUCAACCCCGGAACUGCAUUUGAAACUUCCGUGCUUGAGGUCGGAAGAGGAUGGCGGAAUUCCGAGUGUAGAGGUGAAAUUCAUUGAUAUUGGGAGGAACACCGGUGGCGAAGGCGGCCAUCUGGUCCGGUAUUGACGCUGAGGCGCGAAAGCGUGGGGAGCAAACAGG